GGGUUCUUUAACUUUCGGUAUAAUAUAUCAUUUAUAGACGCUCGGUUGAUUUGGUAAAAUAUUACUCUCAGCGAUCAUAUUUUCUUCGGGGCAAAGUCAAGGGAAUAUGAUUCAACGUCAUCACUUCGGGUAAUAUUUCCCCAAAUCCUCCUCUCUGCGGGUCUAUAGAUGACACAUAUUAACGUGAAAAUCUUUAGUUAAAACAAGAAAUCUUUGCGUAGGAGAGCGCCAUAUUUUCUUCAUUAGACUAAUCGCGUCGUGUGAGCGUGAGGUACGCCAGAUUAUCCAAGAGUAUUUGAGCGAAGACUUCGAAAAGAUUCAACGGCGUGCUUUGCGAAUCUCGUUGCCAUUAAUGAGUUACAGAGAAGCACGGAAUUUUACUGGUAUCCCUUUACUAAAAGCAAGGAGAGAAACAUUAUGUGAACAAUUUUUUAAAAAGAAUGAGAAUAACGAUAAACUAAGCGAACUAUUGCAUCAUAAAGCAACAGCAGACUACGAUAUGCAACCAAGAUGCAAGUAUAACAAUUAUCUAUGUAGAACUGAACGUUUUAGGAAAUCGUUUUUUCCUCAAAUUAUUUCCAAAGAAAACAGUAAAUAACUGAGUAGAAGUAUAGGCCUAUUGUUUUUUGCUACUUUUGAACUCUUAAUAUUUCUUAAUAAUGUAAUAUAACGAUAACUUAAUACUUUUUAACAGUAG